AGAACGACAUGCCUUCUGAAGGCCUCAAACAGCAUCUUCUCUGAUCCGUGUUUUGGCACCUACAAGUACCUCGACAUCUCCUACAGCUGUGUUCCUCCAAGUAAAGAACCGGAGCAUCCCAUCACCACAAUCUUACACUACACUCCAAACACGUUCAGUCUCAUUUUAAUUUGAACAAUUUUAUAAGACGAUAAAUUCUUCUAGGCAAAAUCUACUUUUGUUUCUUUCCAACAGAGUCCGGCCAGACAUGUGAAGGGCAACAAAGAAAACUGGAAUGUGGUUCCAAUGUAAUCCGUAUCCACACUGCCAGUUACGGGCGAACAGAUAAAACCACCUGCUCUGCUGGACGCCCUGCGAAUCAACUCAGCAGGACCGACUGCUCUGCAUCUACAACGCUCCCUAUAGUAAGGGAGAGAUGUGAAGGAAGGACGACAUGCCUUCUGAAGGCCUUAAACAGCAUCUUCUCUGAUCCGU